rnacentral:tRNA from 1 species
GCCUUCGUGGUGUAGUGGUCAGCACGAUGGGCGCAUAUUCCAGAGGUCCGUGGUUCGAGUCCCGGCGAAGGCG